rnacentral:rRNA from 1 species
AUGAAGGCCACCUUCCAGAUGAGUGAUCUGGGGCUCCUCUCCUUCUAUUUAGGGAUUGAGGUGCACCAGGAUCACUCCGGGAUCGCGCUUCGACAGUCCGCCUACGCCAAGCGCAUCGUUGAGCUAGCUGGGCUCACCGGCUGCCAUCCAGCUCUCACUCCGAUGGAGGAGAGGCUGAAACUGAGCCGCGACAGCACAACAGAGGAAGUGGAUGCUACGCGGUACCGAUGCCUUGUGGGGAGCCUUCGCUACCUCACCCACACACGGCCGGACCUAGCAUUCUCCGUCGGCUAUGUCAGUCGGUUCAUGGAGCGACCGACGUCGGAACACCAGCAGGCAGUGAAGAGGAUCAUCCGCUACAUAGCAGGGACCCUCGACCACGGCCUCCACUACCCUAGGUGUCCGGGGGCAGCACACUUCGUCGGGUACAGCGACAGCGACCAUGCCGGCGACAUCGACACCAGCAAGAGCACGAGCGGGAUCCGUCUCUUCCUCGGCAAGUGUCUCGUGAGCUGGCAAUCAGUCAAGCAGCAGGUGGUGGCCCUGUCCAGCUGUGAGGCUGAGUACAUAGCGGCCUCCACCGCCUGCACUCAGGCGCUUUGGCUCGCUCGACUGCUUGGUGAUCUUCUCGUUCAAGACACCAGAACGGUGCAGCUCCUGGUGGACACAAGUCCGCCCUGGCCCUGGCAAAGAACCCCGUGUUCCACGAACGGAGGAGCAUCGAGGCGAGCUACAUCAACACCAAGGAUCAGCUCGCAGACCUGCUCACCAAGCCUCUUGGGAGGGUCAAGUUCCUCGAGCUUUGCUCCAGGAUCGGGAUGA